rnacentral:lncRNA from 1 species
GCACGAGGCUAAAAAGCCCUCAGGACAUCUGUCCUGUGCCCUGCCUGGGGGACUCCUGAGCAAAUGUGGAGAAAGAGGGCGACCUGUUCUCCAAAACCGUGCCGGCCAAGCAAGAGGGAUGGGAGGACAAGGCACAAGGGUUUCCAGGACGAUGGCACAAGUACGUGGGAGUGGCCCCGUGAGCUCCAAGCAGACGGGUGGAAAAGCAAGAGUGAAGGAGAAUAGAAGGGCUGGGAUGUGCCCUGGGCUGGGGAAGGAGGGAGAUGGAGAAUAAAGGACCACUGUGGCCAGUGUGCGAGCACCUCAGGGUCCCGCAUUCUGGAGGAGGUGACCGGUUUUGAACACUCUCAACCUCUGAGAGGUUGAGUCAUUUGACUACGGGCUCUACACAGGUGGGAACUGAGAUGAGCCUUUUAGUUAGUGGGUGGUAGGGAGACUUCGAGGCCUCAGGGGAAGACCCAGCCCACGGGAGGGCCUCAGAGCACACACAGGGGCACUGCAACAGCUUAGCUGCUGGACUGACUGGGUGGCCGAGGGCCGGCUCUGCUGGUGAGCAAACCAGAGGCACCUUUAAGCCCCAGCACCCAGCACAGGGUAGGCACUCAAUAAAUGUUCUGGCAGUGAAUGAAUGAAGGACAAAUGAGUGGAUUCUACCAGUGGGGGUGGGCAUGGCGGCAGACAAGGUGAGGGUCAUGAGCUGAGCAUUGUGGGAGCAAGUGUGAGCUGUAUGCUGGGGUCGUGAAGGGGGCAAGAGUGGAAAGGAGGCUUGGGAGCCAGUAUUCAGAGAUGCUGAGUAGGUCUGUGGUUCAGAAAAGGCUGCUGAGCAGUAGGGUCUCCAGGCACCAGCAGGGGAAUGGGGGUGAGGGUGGAGCCUCCCUAAGGGUGACAUUGGAGGGUCCUUUCCUGGAGAAAGGCAGGGUUGGCUACUGUGAGGAAGGAGGUUUGGGGUCAUGGGGCAAGAUCAAGAUACAGGGGAGGAG